UAGAUACCCUGGUAGUCCAUGCCGUAAACGUUGGGCACUAGGUGUGGGGUCCAUUCCACGGAUUCCGUGCCGCAGCAAACGCAUUAAGUGCCCCGCCUGGGGAGUACGGCCGCAAGGCUAAAACUCAAAGAAAUUGACGGGGGCCCGCACAAGCGGCGGAGCAUGCGGAUUAAUUCGAUGCAACGCGAAGAACCUUACCAAGGCUUGACAUACACCGGAAAAGUGCAGAGAUGUGCUCCCCGCAAGGUCG
rnacentral:rRNA from 1 species